CUUCAUAUCCAGUGAUUAAACCUUUUCACUGCUGUUCACAUAAUGAACCGUUGUGAUUAUUGAAUACUUAAAUGAGGAUAUGUAAG